CUCCUUCUGCUUCUUCAUUCUCUCUAGGUAUAUGGCUAACCCUGAGAUUUCACUGCUGGUUUUCUCAGGUGGAACUGAAAUUAAUGGCGUCGUUGAAGAUAUGAAAAAGUUGACAACUAGGUGUUUCUGAUGAAGGACUGCAGAAAUUGUUCAGUGUACUUGGUGUUGGAGGCAUUAGAUGAAUUUCGAUCGAGACGUUUGAGACUGCAUGUCAGAUGAAAUCACUGAAGCUCUUGCUAUAUGAAGAUUGCUUGGACACCGUUACAUCUUGAUUGAGAACACGCGAAAUCAGAAUGAAAGUAGAAUUUAGCAGCCAGCACCUUUUUUCUAAGGGGUAACUCUGCCCAAAAACUGUUGAUGAAGGCACAGAAGAGUGGAUCGCACGCUGUGUUAUAACUUGCAACAUAUUCCAUCAUCUGCUGGUAGAACUGCGCUGUCAAAGUCAGUUUUAUCUUCUAUUGCAACACUCUUAAUGGUCGAGUGUAUUCUUCUAAAAGGUGUUCUUCAACAUAUUAUGAAGAUACAAAGGUCUUUCUGGUGCGGAUAUGACACAUCACACGUAAAGCUUUACUUCAUAUCAUGGAAUUAUGGAAAAAGAUUUGCAAGUAAAAGAUGGAUGGUGGUAUUGGGCGUUAGAGACACGGAAUUUAUAAAUAAGUCUCUGGUGGUUAAACUAGCCUGGAGAUUCCUUACAAACCCAAAUGUAAUGUAGGUUGAAAUUCCAAAGGCUAGCCUGGAGAUUCCUUACAAACCCAAAUGUAAUGUAGGUUGUUCAUCAACAUGUAGUGGCAUAAUUUCAGUUAGACCAAUACUAGCAGAUAACUGCUGCUGGCUAGUUGGAAAUGGCUCUUCUAUCAGAAUAUGGGAAGACCCAUGGACUCCAGGUUUCAAACCUUCUAUAGUAUGUUUGUGAAUUGUUGUCUCUGCAACAACUAACACAGGUUUGGAAUGUUCUUCACUCACUAUUCUCUCCAACUGAAGUUACUGCUACCAGUUCCAUCCACAUUAUGGGAGACAAUGAACUGAAAGAUCGGCUUGAUUAAAAACACCCACAGGUAACUUUACAGCGAAUUCUUGUUACAAGUUAUUGGCUGGUAAUAUACCUUCAUGCUCUAGUUUGCCUAGAAAUUAUUUUGGAGAAAUAAGCAAAAGUCUCCUAGAAGUCAGACCUUUGUGUGACAAUUUUUACAUAACGGCAUUGGUGUGAGGUAUAACAUACAUUGUUUCAUAAAUAAAU